rnacentral:rRNA from 1 species
GAUGAACGCUGGCGGCGUGCCUAAUACAUGCAAGUCGAGCGAACGGACGAGAAGCUUGCUUCUCUGAUGUUAGCGGCGGACGGGCGAGUAACACGUGGAUAACCUACCUAUAAGACUGGGAUCACUUCGGGAAACCGGAGCUAACACCGGAUAAUAUUUUGAACCGCAUGGUUCAAAAGUGAAAGACGGUCUUGCUGUCACUUAUAGAUGGUUCCGCGCUGCAUUAGCUAGUUGGUAAGGUAACGGCUUACCAAGGCAACGAUGCAUAGCCGACCUGAGAGGGUGAUCGGCCACACUGGAACUGAGACACGGUCCAGACUCCUAAGGGAGGCAGCAGUAGGGAAUCUUCCGCAAUGGGCGAAAGCCUGACGGAGCAACGCCGCGUGAGUGAUGAAGGUCUUCGGAUCGUAAAACUCUGUUAUUAGGGAAGAACAUAUGUGUAAGUAACUGUGCACAUCUUGACGGUACCUAAUCAGAAAGCCACGGCUAACUACGUG